CGACUCUCGGCAACGGAUAUCUUGGCUCUCGCAUCGAUGAAGAACGUAGCGAAAUGCGAUACUUGGUGUGAAUUGCAGAAUCCCGUGAACCAUCGAGUCUUUGAACGCAAGUUGCGCCCGAGGCUAUCCGGCCGAGGGCACGCCUGCCUGGGCGUCACGCCUCGCGUCGCU
rnacentral:rRNA from 1 species